rnacentral:misc_RNA from 1 species
UUGAUUCAUUUGUAAAAUCCUCAGAGAAAACGUAUAAAAUACAAGAGUUUAGGGUCUCCGGCGGGGUGCCUGUUGCCAGGGCAGAUCCCGCCGAAGCAACGAUAGGUAUGUUCACAUGGGUUUGGGAGUUGUAAACUCGGUAAUGAUCCCUCCGCUGGUUCACCAACGGAGA